rnacentral:rRNA from 1 species
UACAGAGGUCUCAAGCGUUGUUCGGAUUCAUUGGGCGUAAAGGGUGCGUAGGUGGCGCGCUAAGUCAGGUGUGAAAUCUCGGGGCUUAACUCCGAAACUGCAUUUGAUACUGGCGUGCUUGAGGACUGGAGAGGAGACUGGAAUUUACGGUGUAGCGGUGAAAUGCGUAGAUAUCGUAAGGAAGACCAGUGGCGAAGGCGGGUCUCUGGACAGUUCCUGACGCUGAGGCACGAAGGCCAGGGGAGCAAACGGG